UACGUAGGGACCAAGCGUUGUUCGGAUUUACUGGGCGUAAAGGGCGCGUAGGCGGCGCGGUAAGUCACUUGUGAAAUCUCUGAGCUUAACUCAGAACGGCCAAGUGAUACUGCAGUGCUAGAGUGUGGAAGGGGCAAUCGGAAUUCUUGGUGUAGCAGUGAAAUGCGUAGAUAUCAAGAGGAACACCUGAGGUGAAGACGGGUUGCUGGGCCAACACUGACGCUGAGGCGCGAAAGCCAGGGGAGCAAACGGG
rnacentral:rRNA from 1 species